rnacentral:rRNA from 1 species
CGGGACACGUGGUAUCCUGUCUGAAUAUGGGGGGACCAUCCUCCAAGGCUAAAUACUCCUGACUGACCGAUAGUGAACCAGUACCGUGAGGGAAAGGCGAAAAGAACCCCGGCGAGGGGAGUGAAAAAGAACCUGAAACCGUGUACGUACAAGCAGUGGGAGCACGCUUAGGCGUGUGACUGCGUACCUUUUGUAUAAUGGGUCAGCGACUUAUAUUCUGUAGCAAGGUUAACCGAAUAGGGGAGCCGAAGGGAAACCGAGUCUUAACUGGGCGUUAAGUUGCAGGGUAUAGACCCGAAACCCGGUGAUCUAGCCAUGGGCAGGUUGAAGGUUGGGUAACACUAACUGGAGGACCGAACCGACUAAUGUUGAAAAAUUAGCGGAUGACUUGUGGCUGGGGGUGAAAGGCCAAUCAAACCGGGAGAUAGCUGGUUCUCCCCGAAAGCUAUUUAGGUAGCGCCUCGUGAAUUCAUCUCCGGGGGUAGAGCACUGUUUCGGCAAGGGGGUCAUCCCGACUUACCAACCCGAUGCAAACUGCGAAUACCGGAGAAUGUUAUCACGGGAGACACACGGCGGGUGCUAACGUCCGUCGUGAAGAGGGAAACAACCCAGACCGCCAGCUAAGGUCCCAAAGUCAUGGUUAAGUGGGAAACGAUGUGGGAAGGCCCAGACAGCCAGGAUGUUGGCUUAGAAGCAGCCAUCAUUUAAAGAAAGCGUAAUAGCUCACUGGUCGAGUCGGCCUGCGCGGAAGAUGUAACGGGGCUAAACCAUGCACCGAAGCUGCGGCAGCGACGCUUAUGCGUUGUUGGGUAGGGGAGCGUUCUGUAAGCCUGUGAAGGUGUACUGUGAGGUAUGCUGGAGGUAUCAGAAGUGCGAAUGCUGACAUAAGUAACGAUAAAGCGGGUGAAAAGCCCGCUCGCCGGAAGACCAAGGGUUCCUGUCCAACGUUAAUCGGGGCAGGGUGAGUCGACCCCUAAGGCGAGGCCGAAAGGCGUAGUCGAUGGGAAACAGGUUAAUAUUCCUGUACUUGGUGUUACUGCGAAGGGGGGACGGAGAAGGCUAUGUUGGCCGGGCGACGGUUGUCCCGGUUUAAGCGUGUAGGCUGGUUUUCCAGGCAAAUCCGGAAAAUCAAGGCUGAGGCGUGAUGACGAGGCACUACGGUGCUGAAGCAACAAAUGCCCUGCUUCCAGGAAAAGCCUCUAAGCAUCAGGUAACAUCAAAUCGUACCCCAAACCGACACAGGUGGUCAGGUAGAGAAUACCAAGGCGCUUGAGAGAACUCGGGUGAAGGAACUAGGCAAAAUGGUGCCGUAACUUCGGGAGAAGGCACGCUGAUAUGUAGGUGAAGUCCCUCGCGGAUGGAGCUGAAAUCAGUCGAAGAUACCAGCUGGCUGCAACUGUUUAUUAAAAACACAGCACUGUGCAAACACGAAAGUGGACGUAUACGGUGUGACGCCUGCCCGGUGCCGGAAGGUUAAUUGAUGGGGUUAGCGCAAGCGAAGCUCUUGAUCGAAGCCCCGGUAAACGGCGGCCGUAACUAUAACGGUCCUAAGGUAGCGAAAUUCCUUGUCGGGUAAGUUCCGACCUGCACGAAUGGCGUAAUGAUGGCCAGGCUGUCUCCACCCGAGACUCAGUGAAAUUGAACUCGCUGUGAAGAUGCAGUGUACCCGCGGCAAGACGGAAAGACCCCGUGAACCUUUACUAUAGCUUGACACUGAACAUUGAGCCUUGAUGUGUAGGAUAGGUGGGAGGCUUUGAAGUGUGGACGCCAGUCUGCAUGGAGCCGACCUUGAAAUACCACCCUUUAAUGUUUGAUGUUCUAACGUGGACCCGUAAUCCGGGUUGCGGACAGUGUCUGGUGGGUAGUUUGACUGGGGCGGUCUCCUCCUAAAGAGUAACGGAGGAGCACGAAGGUUGGCUAAUCCUGGUCGGACAUCAGGAGGUUAGUGCAAUGGCAUAAGCCAGCUUGACUGCGAGCGUGACGGCGCGAGCAGGUGCGAAAGCAGGUCAUAGUGAUCCGGUGGUUCUGAAUGGAAGGGCCAUCGCUCAACGGAUAAAAGGUACUCCGGGGAUAACAGGCUGAUACCGCCCAAGAGUUCAUAUCGACGGCGGUGUUUGGCACCUCGAUGUCGGCUCAUCACAUCCUGGGGCUGAAGUAGGUCCCAAGGGUAUGGCUGUUCGCCAUUUAAAGUGGUACGCGAGCUGGGUUUAGAACGUCGUGAGACAGUUCGGUCCCUAUCUGCCGUGGGCGCUGGAGAAUUGAGGGGGGCUGCUCCUAGUACGAGAGGACCGGAGUGGACGCAUCA